rnacentral:tRNA from 1 species
GCCUGGUUGGCUCAGUUGGUAGAGUAUGUGACUCUUGAUCUCAAGGUUUUAAGUUCAAGCUUUACACUGGGUG